rnacentral:rRNA from 1 species
GCUUACGGCCAUAUCAGCCUGGGUACGCCCGAUCUCGUCUGAUCUCGGAAGCUAAGCACGGUCGGGCCUGGUUAGUACUUGGAUGGGAGACCGCCUGGGAAUACCAGGUGCUGUAAGCA